AAGGUGCAGUAAGUUAAAAUACUCUCUAUGGUGCAGCGGUAGAAGGUCACCAGCAGUUUUUCAUUCAGUUGUUGUUUUCUGAGAAGCCUCAGAUAGUAUAAUCUCUGCUGGGCCCUUUUGACAAGUGCUGCAAUGUAAGCACGCCAGGUCAGGUUCUCUUUUAUGGUAACACCCAGAAACUUAAAACUGGCCACUUGUUCCACUCGGUCUCCAUUGAUAAGCAAGGGCUGGAUUGCUAGGCCAUGU